rfam:Salmo salar isolate Sally breed double haploid chromosome ssa21, whole genome shotgun sequence.
AAUGCACCAAUUUGUAAGUCGCUCUGGAUAAGAGCGUCUGCUAAAUGUCGUAAA